rnacentral:tRNA from 1 species
GCAGUCGUGGCCGAGGGGGUUAAGGCGAUGGACUAGAACUCCAGUGGGGUCUCCCCGCACAGGUUCGAAUCCUGUCGACUGCG